CAACCAAAAUCUUCUCCAAACAGUUCGAACUCUCCCCUCCCCUCUCUCUCUCUCUCUCAAUCUUAAGAUGAAGCUGCUGUCGAGGAAAGCUACCUGCAACUCUCAUGGGCAGGAUUCCUCAUAUUUCCUGGGAUGGCAGGAGUACGAGAAGAACCCGUACGAUGUGGUUCAGAAUCCGUCGGGAAUAAUUCAGAUGGGUCUCGCGGAGAAUCAGCUGUCCUUUGAUCUUCUGGAGUCUUGGCUCGCUAACAACCCCGACCCGGCAAUCUUCAAGAGAGAUGGACAAUCCAUUUUCAGAGAGCUUGCUCUCUUCCAAGAUUAUCAUGGCCUUCCCGCUUUCAAAAAUGCGUUGGUAGAAUUCAUGGCAGAAAUAAGAGGCAAUAGAGUAAGCUUUGAUCCGAAGAAGCUAGUUCUCACUGCUGGUGCAACUUCGGCUAACGAAACCCUUAUGUUUUGCCUCGCUGAACCUGGCGAAGCUUUCCUCCUCCCCACACCAUACUACCCAGGAUUUGAUAGAGACCUCAAGUGGAGAACUGGAGUUGAGAUUGUACCAAUCCAUUGCUCAAGCACAAAUUCCUUCAGAGUUACAGAAUCUGCUCUUGAAGAAGCUUAUGAAGCUGCCAAGAAACGUAACCUCAAAGUUAAGGGCGUUCUAGUCACCAACCCUUCAAAUCCCCUGGGCACAACUCUGAGCCUAGAUGAACUCAACCUUCUCGUCAGCUUCAUAAGCCUAAAGAACAUCCACCUAAUCAGCGACGAAAUCUAUUCCGGCACCGUUUUCAGCUCACCGGAAUUCGUCAGCGUUAUGGAGAUUCUAAACAAGAAGAAAUAUUCCGCGGAUGUUGAACUUUGGAAUAGGGUUCACAUUGUCUAUAGCCUUUCCAAGGAUCUCGGCCUUCCGGGUUUUCGAGUUGGCGCCAUAUACUCCAACGACGAAAUGGUGGUCUCCGCCGCGACGAAAAUGUCGAGCUUCGGGUUGGUUUCGUCGCAAACACAGUACCUCCUGUCUGCCAUGCUUUCCGACAAGAAGUUUACGAGGAACUACAUCUCGGAGAAUCAGAAGAGGCUGAAACAGCGCCAAGAAAAGCUGAUUUCGGGCUUCCGAAGCGCCGGAAUCAGCUGCCUGGAGAGCAAUGCCGGCUUGUUCUGUUGGGUGGACAUGAGGCAUCUCUUGAGCUCCAACACUUUCGACGCUGAGAUGGAGCUCUGGAAGAAGAUUGUCUACGACGUCGGCUUGAACAUCUCACCCGGUUCGUCGUGCCACUGCUCCGAACCGGGCUGGUUUCGUGUCUGCUUCGCCAACAUGUCAGCCGAAACUCUAACCCUUGCAAUCCAGAGGAUAAAAGACUUCGCCGAGUUGACUGUAGCAAGCAGUAGCCGGAGGAGCCACCAAUCGAUGAAGAACUCGAGAAGAAGAUCGCUCACUAAGUGGGUUUUCCGGUUGUCAUUCGACGGCCGUGAGCCGGAUGAACGUAUACAACUGCAGAUUAUCUCAUAUUAAUCAUUGCUUACGCGUUAACGGCAGCGGCGGAAUAAUGGCUAGAACGGCGAUAACACGUGAAGCCAACGUCAAAUGGAUCCAACAAAAAAAAAAAAAAAAAAGAACAAUGAAUCAAGGGAGGAUCCAAUGGGAUGGCUUUAGCAUAUGUGCCAUUGUUGCAUCCUAGUGGAUGAGACUGGCCAUGACCACGUACCAGUCUCUAGCUAGGGAUUAAAAGGAGGCUAAAACCAAUGCACCCAAUGGAGAUCAGAGUCGUUAGGAAGCCAGAGGAUGGAGUAGCGUUGAAAUCUGAAAUGGGCAAGGGGAAACGAGAGUUAUAGCUGAAGCCAACGAAAUGGACACGAGGUGUCAAAUUGGGGGCGUGACAAGAGAACCAUGCAUGAUGGUGGACAUUAAUUAGAGCGAUCCCCUCUUGGAGAGAAAGUCUAGAGAAAGACGGGCACGUGGAGAUUGAGCUUUCCUGGAAGGAGAUCCAUGGCGGCAACGACUAGGGCUUGGUUCUUGUUCCAGAGAGGAUUGGUAGUCUUCUAUGAUUAUCUAUUAGUCUAGGGUUUUCAGCUGUUCAAUGUGAUUUUCUCUGAGACAGUACUGUCAAACCCUAGACUUUCAUGUUUGCCUGGACUAUAAAUAAGAUAUCUCAAGAAAAUUAUACAGCUUUGUGAUAUUGCAAACGUCACUGACUACGCGAGUGAUAUAUUUUCUUGCAAGUAAUCUUGGGUUUCAGGACCCUUCAAAUUUUCCCUACUGUAAUAUCUUUUCUUUUCUAAAGUUGACGCGUUUUCCCAGCUUCCAAACGCCAAUCAAAGAAAUCCUGCUAAACCCAACAGUAUUAUUUGAUUAGGGUAACAGUAAG